CCCUUAGAUGUCCUGGGCCGCACGCGUGCUACACUGACGCAUACAACGAGUAUUUCCAGCUCCGAGAGGUAGCUGGUAAUCAGCAAUAUGCGUCGUGAUGGGGAUUGAUCUUUGGAAUUGUGGAUCAUGAACGAGGAAUGCCUAGUAAGCGCAGUUCAUCAAACUGCGUUGAUUAAGUCCCUGCCCUUUGUACACACCGCCCGUCGCUCCUACCGAUUUCGAGUGGUCCGGUGAGUUGUCAGGAUGAGACGCUUUUGGCGGGCAACUGCGAGAAGCGACUCAGAAUCUCAGCAAACCUUAUCAUUUAGAGGAAGGAGAAGUCGUAACA
rnacentral:rRNA from 1 species